rnacentral:rRNA from 1 species
GAUGAACGCUAGCGAUAGGCUUAACACAUGCAAGUCGAGGGACCGGCGCACGGGUGCGUAACGCGUAUGCAACUUGCCUCACAGAGGGUGAUAACCCGUCGAAAGACGUACUAAUACCGCGUACUGUGAGAUAGGCAUGCGUCACAUUAGCUAGUGGGUGAGGUAACGGCUCACCAAGGCAACGAAGGGGAGGUGAACUGAGAGGUAGAACCCCCACACUGGGACUGCGACACGGACCAGACUGCUACGGGGCGCAGCAGAGAGGAAUAUUGGUCAAUGGGCGAGAGCCUGAACCGGCCAAGUCGCGUGAAGGAGGACUGGGUAUGGAAGUUAAACUUCUGUUGUAGAAGAAUAUGUACCCUACGAAUAAGCAUCGGCUAACUCCGUGCCAGCAGCCGCGGUAAUAC